rnacentral:lncRNA from 1 species
GCGCCCCGCCGGCCCCCCCCCUCCGCCGCCACCGCGGGGCCGUCCGAAGCCGCGUCCUCGGGUCCCCGCCCGCCCGCCGGGGGCUCCUCCAUCGCCGGCCCUCGCCGCCGCGGGUGGCGCUCGCAGGGACCCCUCCCANCGUGGGGGCGGUUAGGGCCGCAGCGCCCCGCUGUGGGGGGUCGGGGGGGAGCCUCCGGGCGCCCCGGGCCACACCGGGCGCUGCUCCCGUCCGUCCGGUCCCGCAGGCCUGGAGCGCAGCCGAGCGUCCCACUCCCGGUGCACAGGCUCCUCCGAACCCCUAACUGCCAGCUCCCCCGGGGAGCAAAGAAUCACCGCGCCCCGGGGGGCGGUUAGGGCCGCAGCGCCCCGCUGUGGGGGGUCGGGGGGGAGCCUCCGGGCGCCCCGGGCCACACCGGGCGCUGCUCCCGUCCGUCCGGUCCCGCAGGCCUGGAGCGCAGCCGAGCGUCCCACUCCCGGUGCACAGGCUCCUCCGAACCCCUAACUGCCAGCUCCCCCGGGGAGCAAAGAAUCACCGCGCCCCGGGGGGACACAGGUGACUGAUGAAAAAGCUGGCUUCACAGGCCGGCCUCUGGAACCACCGUGACCAUCAGAAGGAUUUAAUACUCAGCACUCACGCACAUGCUUGUAAAAGGUGCGCCAAGCUAAAGCAGUACUCUCUGUGGCCUAAGAGAAGCAGCUUCCAGUUCCAGCUCUGCAGCAGACCCACUGUGGGGCCCAGACAGGCGACUGGUCCCUCCUGGGCUUAGAACUAGAACUCCCCCUUUGUAAAAAUGUGGCAGGUGGGUUAGUGGUUAGAUGUGACCCCGGUCAGCUCUGUUGACCCUGGAUCCCCUUCCUCUUCAUUUUAUCCCACUAUUCAAAUAUUCACCACCAGCUGCCAAGUGAGCCCACUAAUCAAG